CCUACGGGCGGCAGCAGUGAGGAAUAUUGGUCAAUGGCCGGAAGGCUGAACCAGCCAUGCCGCGUGAAGGUCAGUGCCCUAUGGGCGUUAAACUUCUUUUGUGCGGGAGCAAUAAUGGUCACGUGUGGCCAGACGAGAGUACCGUACGAAUAAGCAUCGGCUAACUCCGUGCCAGCAGCCGCGGUAAUACGGGGGAUGCAAGCGUUAUCCGGAUUUAUUGGGUUUAAAGGGUGCGUAGGCUGGGAGGUAAGUCAGCGGUGAAAUGCCCCCGCUCAACGGGGUGAAGUGCCAUUGAUACUGCCUGGCUGGAAUGCGGAUGCCGUGGGAGGAAUGUGUGGUGUAGCGGUGAAAUGCAUAGAUAUCACACAGAACACCGAUUGCGAAGGCAUCUCACGAAUCCGCGAUUGACGCUGAUGCACGAAAGCGUGGGUAUCAAACAGGAUUAGAUACCCGAGUAGUC
rnacentral:rRNA from 1 species